UACGUAGGGUGCGAGCGUUAAUCGGAAUUACUGGGCGUAAAGCGUGCGCAGGCGGUUCGUCGUGUCUCGUGUGAAAGCCCCGGGCUCAACCUGGGAAUGGCAUGGGAAACUGGCGAACUGGAGUGUGGCAGAGGGGGGGUGGAAUUCCGCGUGUAGCAGUGAAAUGCGUAGAGAUGCGGAGGAACACCGAUGGCGAAGGCAGCCCCCCUGGGCUGACACUGACGCUCAGGCACGAAAGCGUGGGGAGCAAACAGG
rnacentral:rRNA from 1 species